rnacentral:rRNA from 1 species
AGCAGCCGCGGUAAUUCCAGCUCCAAUAGCGUAUAUUAAAGUUGUUGCAGUUAAAAAGCUCGUAGUUGAAUUUCGGGAUCAAUUUAUUGGUCGUGCUAUUGUACGUACUGGUAUUAUUGGUUCCUACCUUCUGACGAACCAUGAUGUCAUUAAUUUGGUGUCUUGGGGAAUCAGGACUGUUACUUUGAAAAAAUUAGAGUGUUUAAAGCAGGCUCACGCUUGAAUACAUUAGCAUGGAAUAACGAAAUAGGACGUUUGAUUCUAUUUUGUUGGUUUCUAGGAUCGACGUAAUGAUUAAUAGGGAUAGUUGGGGGCAUUAGUAUUCAAUUGUCAGAGGUGAAAUUCUUGGAUUUAUUGAAGACUAACUACUGCGAAAGCAUUUGCCAAGGAUGUUUUCAUUAAUCAAGAACGAAAGCUAGGGGAUCGAAGACGAUCAGAUACCGUCGUAGUCUUAACCAUAAACUAUGCCGACUAGGGAUCGGAUGAUGUUAAUUUUUAAUGACUCAUUCGGCGCCUUAAC